GGAUGUGAGGGCAGUCUGGCUGCGACAUCUGUCACCCCAUUGAUCACCAGGCUUGAUUUGGCUGAUCUGGCUGGCUAGGCAGGUGUCCCCUUCCUCCCUCAAUGACCCAUGAGUAUCCCUCCUGAAGCUGCAUGCUCGUCGAAGAGGACGACCACCCCAGAUAAAGGAAGACCAUUCCUUGGUCAAGGGUAUAUGAAUUGCUGCACUCCCCUGUUAGAACCUCCAAACAAGCUCUCAAUUUACCAAGCAAAAGAAGCAGAUUGUCGGAAUGUAUCAAGAAACAAGGUAAAACAUUUAGCUACACACACGAAAUACAUUUAAUUCAAAGUGAAAUU
rnacentral:snRNA from 1 species